UCUCUUCGGUGACGGGUAUUCUUGGGUGGAUAAUACGGAUUACGUUGUUAUUGCUUAAGAAUACGCGUAGUCGAGGAGAGUACCGGCGGCGGGCAGGCAGGCAGGCAGCGCGACCGCCCCCAGCCCACCAGCUGGCUCCUCACCUCCUCUAGUUGCCAAGCUCAAGUCUCCCGGACUAGUCCUUCCUUCCUUCCUCGCCAAAUGACUCAUGGGAAGCUGUUGAUCUUCAGUCUAUGGAGACAAUCUAACAUCAGCAACACUCUGGGGGUGCUGCUACAAGGUGAGCCUCGGACUCUGCCUACAGUCUGUGCUUCCAAAUGAUGGCCCCGUGAUGGCAGAUGGAGGGACAUCCCAGGCACUGCACUGGGUGUUUGCUGCUCCCAGAGCUGCCACACGCCCCGGGACCCCCAGCUGCUGGAUGCCUGACCCAGCUCGACUGCUGCUGGAGAUGUGUCGGGGCUGGCUCAGCCCUGCUUGCUGCUGCCUGCCUGCCUUACUCUUCUGAGUUAUGCCCCAGCCCGCUCCUGUCCUGUUGUGCUAGUGCCUCCGGGCUGUAUUGAGUUUUCAAUUAUCACAAUAUACAGCGCAGAUGCUACGCAAAGCAGCCAGUGUGGCUGAGCAUGCUGAACUCAGUAAAAACACAGUUAAAUAAAAGUACCGCUAUAAUACCAGGAGGCUGAUUGGAACCACAAGGUACCAGUGUCAUAUCCUGUGGCUUUUAUGUUGGUAAAUGUAGAUUUCAGCCAUUGGAGUCUAGCUAUCCAACAGAUAACAACUAGUGGAAAUAGAUCCAGGUAUCUUCGGUUGUGAGUCACUGAAACACGUUUGCCAAUAAAUGCAGAACAUGGUAAACUGCAGAAGAAAAAACACAUUUGAGAUACUUACAAAUAUAUCCAGGCAUGUACUAUGGGGUAGCAUCUAACUGUGUGCAACUUGAACACAAAAUACAUUUAUAGGGGUACAUCAAGAGAGCUCUGACUUCAGAGAACCAGUGUGUGGUUACUUGUCAGUUCCAAAUAAACAGUAAGUGUAGGUCUCAACUUCUUUAUUUGUACGUGUAGUAACAAGCUCCCAGAUGAUAAUGAUACUGUGAUAUCUAUGUGGGGGUAAAAGACUAUGACAAAAGAGGAAAAAAUAAGCAAUAAAUACAAUAAUGUCAAAUUUUCCUGUUAUUAACUUCUAGCAAAGCCCAACAGCUGGAAUUUUAAAAUGUUUUAUCUAGACAAAUGUAAAGAGAACAACACAGUGUGUUUUUUCCAUAGGAGAAUGAAAUAGGCAUGCAAAGAAAAUUACUAUAUUUAGUACUCUCAGGACAGAUUCUAUUUAAGGACUGUGAAAUAAUUUGAAAAUAUUACUGAUUUAGUCUCACAGCUAGCUUUCAGGUAGAUAAUAAUCAUAAUAAUUACUAUAAAUAAAUAGUAUUAUUAUCAUUCUUGCUCAGAAGAACAGAAUAUUGAUGCAUAGAGAAUUCUGUAUUUGUCCAAGUCUGUGUUUUACUACUGUAACCAUCCUUUUCAAGAACUAUUUUAUAUUAGGAUUAUCCUUUUCCAAAUACACUUUGAUAUACUAUUCAGUUUAUCAGUUCUAACAACCAACCAGCCAAACUUCCUUGUGAAACAGUGCCAGUGGAUAUCCCCAUUUGCAUGUGAAUUCUCAAGCAGCAGCAGUCCAGCAGUCCUGCUCCUCAAGGAAAAAAAAAAAAAAAAAAAAAAAGAGAGAGAGAGAGAGAAAAGGAAUCAUGGAAAUCAGUACAAAAUCUGUCAAGGCCCCAUCUGUGACUGGGUAUCAGAAUAUCACUAAGAAGCUCUGAGGAACAAAGUUCAUUCCAAGUCUAACACACAGUGCUUUUUGGUAGAAGAAAUUAAUUCAGACAGGGAGAAACGAGAGCGCGUACCACAAAAAGCUCUGUUCCUCCACUGAGGCUCGAAGGGAAGCAUCACUGUGUGUGGUCUUGGUUUUGGUGCACACAGAAACACAGUGCUUAAACACUGAAACAAUCAGUGUGCUCAUGUCUCGUGUUGAUAGCCAGGUAUGCCUGCCGCUCCCCUGAGGAGUGCCGGGGAAUGAGGACCUCUGGUCCUGACAAGGUGAGGACAGAGAUUACAUAGGAUUGUAGCAAAAAGCAAGAUUUACAGCCAGCUAACUGAAGUAGUAUGGAAAAAAAAACCAAUUAUAGUCUCCACCCUGGCCUUGAAAAUCCCUCUACAAACAUGUUUAUUUCCUUCUGGAUGGGUAGAUAUAAAGGCUGGGGGCACUUACUUGUAGGCUAUUUUUAUAUCUCCUCUUCAGGAUCUGAAUCUUGCAUAUUAAUGAACUACAGGAAACAGGAAAACCAAACAUUAACACCAUUCUAAUGCAGCAUACUAUUUUUCCCUUUUUUAAACUGUUAGAGUAUGCAAAUGUUCGGUUAACUGGUCCUCAUGUUUUCUCUUCAUUGAAUUGCUUUCACUAUGGCAAAUAAAUAUUCAUAAAGAAA